UAAACAUAUCAAGCAAUGGCUCAAGGAUCAGGCCAUGGAACUCAUUAUAGAACUCACUACAAAACCUGUCUGAUCCUGGGUCCCUACCAUUUUGCAAAUUCUCAAUUCCAAACAUUAUCUCUUCCUUGGUAAUAGGGACAUUAAGGAGAGACUUCUGUUCUUCGGAAAUAUGGCUGAGUAUGACAUAAUCAGAUCCCUGGCGUACACUUUACAGGUUUCCCAAAGGAGUGACAAGCUUGUCUGUUGAUUGAGAGUUAACAAAGAAAAAUGCUUUAACCUCUGUAAUAAAAUAUUAUGUACAGUGCCUUCGGAAAGUAUUCGGAUUCCUUGACUUUUUCCACAUUUUGUUAUGUUACAGCCUUAUUCUAAAAUUAUUUUUAUCAAUUUGAUGACAAAGUAAAAACAGAUUUUUAGACA